CCAGAAUCACCAUUCCUGUUUUCCUGCUGCUCUUUGUCUUACCAGGUGGCUGUCCUCACCACGAGGUGGACAUGACCCACUGCCAUCAGGAGAACAUCUGCAUUGAAACUAACAAAAAGAGGCAUUAUUGGAGGAUAUGCUUAAAUAACCAACACUUCAUUAGAUAUUUCUAAUGGUGCAGCUCUGAAGAUUGGAGCACUCCAAAGUGAAAAAAUACAACCUACAAAAGUAUUUUUUCCCCCUGUGUUUUCUGCAUGAAAAAAUGUACACAGUGGACUGCAAGAAAGGCCUUUGUCAAAGGUGACAGGAAGGAUUUGAACUGACAGGAUUCUUUCCUGACCUGUGGAAGUUCUUCAUUCCAGUGUUUCUUUCACAUCCAGUCGACCAGGCUCAGGCUUUUGCAGAACUAAUGAGACACCAGAUGGCUGCAUGGCACUGAACUUUAGAAGAGGAAUCAAGAGUAAUCGUGGAAAUUAUCAUCUGGUAAAUCACAUUACAGUCCCUAGGAAAAUUGUGGAGCCAUUUUCAAGUGAGAAGUGUGAGUUGAUGUGGGACUUGGGAACAGCUUGCAAAUAAUCCUGGA